rnacentral:lncRNA from 1 species
UUUCUUCUAUUCUUCUCUCUAUACGUUGGUGUUCUAACCAAUAAAUCACCAAAGCGAUGUCCUGUCCGAUCGAUUCAGGAACCAUCUAACGAAUGCCGAAGUGUUGUGCUUUGUGAAUUUCGUUAAGCGGAAUCCAAAGUACUAUACUUUGUGAGUUCAUUAAAUGGAUACCAAAGUACUGUCUGAAUAAGACUAUACUUUGUGAAAUUCGUUAAGGUUCGAAUCUCGUGACUACCGUUAAGGUUUGAUUUGGGUUUUACACAAAUACGUAUUCCAUUCUGUUAAACUAUAUGUUUAACUACCAAGAAUACUCCCAACUAUACACUUACAAUCAAACAAACUAUUAAAUCAUCAGAAGAUCCAGAAUAAUAAAGUGCAUGCUUAAUUAUCGGAAGAAGUAGAAUCAAGAAGCUUGUUAAGUCAAUCUUGCAUGCUUAUAAAGUAAUUACAGUAGAUUGGAGUAAUAAUUGGAUCCGGCACUGAAGGACUUCAAGAAGUGGCUUAUAUUAUUAAUUAAAUCAAAUUAAGAAAUAUUGUUUUUAUUAAAAGCUACCUUUGUAAAAUUGGAAUUUAUUCCAUCUAUUUAAAUAAAAUCCGGUGUUUCUAAACUCUGAUAUUUUUCCUAACUCACGGUCCUGAUGAAAUUUCCGUUGUUUUCAAAAUAAUCACCGGUACCACUUGGCUGCUCACGGCUCCCGAUUCCGGCUAGGGUGGGUCGAGGGUCGUGACAUUAUGUAUGGAUCCAAAUGGCUAAUAGCAAGUAUCAAAAUGUUUUUGUUUGUUAAUGUAUAAUCCCUUUCAAAUGAUGAUAGUUCAAGUUUCAUUAUGGCAAAAUUGAAGGACUAUAAGAAGUAGGUUAGUUUGUUGUUCAAAUCAAACAAAGUUUAGAAAAGACUAUUAGCUUU